rnacentral:rRNA from 1 species
AGAGUUUGAUCCUGGCUCAGAACGAACGCUGGCGGCGUGCUUAACACAUGCAAGUCGAACGCGAAAGUUUCUUUCGGGAAACGAGUAGAGUGGCGCACGGGUGAGUAACGCGUAAGUAAUCUACCCUGGUAUUUGGGAUAACCCACCGAAAGGUGUGCUAAUACCGAAUACGCUGAUUUAUCAGGAAAGGUGGCCUCUUCAUGAAAGCUACUGUACCAGGAGGAGCUUGCGUACCAUUAGCUAGUUGGUAGGGUAAAGGCCUACCAAGGCGACGAUGGUUAGCGGGUCUGAGAGGAUGAUCCGCCACACUGGAACUGAAACACGGACCAGACUCCUACGGGAGGCAGCAGUGAGGAAUAUUGCGCAAUGGGGGAAACCCUGACGCAGCGACGCCGCGUGGAUGAUGAAGGCCUUCGGGUCGUAAAAUCCUGUCAGAUGGGAAGAAGUGUAUAUUGGUUAAUACCUGAUAUAUUUGACGGUACCAUCAAAGGAAGCACCGGCUAACUCCGUGCCAGCAGCCGCGGUAAUACGGAGGGUGCAAGCGUUGUUCGGAAUUACUGGGCGUAAAGCGCGCGUAGGCGGCUAUUUAAGUCAGAUGUGAAAGUCCACGGCUCAACCGUGGAAGUGCAUUUGAAACUGGGUAGCUUGAGUAUUGGAGGGGGUGGUGGAAUUCCCGGUGUAGAGGUGAAAUUCGUAGAUAUCGGGAGGAAUACCGGUGGCGAAGGCGACCACCUGGCCAAAUACUGACGCUGAUGUGCGAAAGCGUGGGGAGCAAACAGGAUUAGAUACCCUGGUAGUCCACGCCGUAAACGAUGUGAACUAGGUGUUGGGAUGGUUAAUCGUCUCAUUGCCGCAGCUAACGCAUUAAGUUCACCGCCUGGGGAGUACGGUCGCAAGAUUAAACUCAAAGGAAUUGACGGGGGCCCC